UUAUAGGUCAUUCACAGUAUUAUAGAAAUUUACAGACAAAGAACCACUGAAAACUGUGACACCUAGAUUAGUGAGACUAUUCAUAGGGAGACUAGGGACAGAGGACAUCACCGUUACCGGGUCACAACAGAGACCGGCAUGUGCACGCGCCUCUUCCACAGGUAAACAGACCUCAGUAAUAAGAGAAUCGGUUUUUUUGGAAAUGAAACGAGACCAAUACAACUAUCGACCAAUUAUCUUCUUCUGUACACCCAGCAUUUAUCACAGGUGUGUCGCAGGCUUCAUUAUCAUAUAAAAGAGGUAAAUAGACAUGGGUCUGUAUCAGCGUUAAACUUUCGACUGGAUGGCAGCAGCGACGUAAGGCUGCACUUUGAUGGGAGAUGGUCAGCUCUUUGCCUCGGAAAUUCAAGAUUUCAGCUGCCUAGUUUGUGGACUUCCGGUAGACGAUUAGUUAGAGACGAUUUUAAAUCGAGAAAGCUGCUGGCAAUAAGGAGCAACAGAAGUGCUGAUGGGGGAUGUGACGGGCUCUCAGGACGGCUGGAGAUCUUCCAUAACAACUCGUGGAUUGCAGCUUAUUGCUGUGUGUAACAAUUCUUUUGGGGAGCCAGAAAUGCAUACAGUUUGUUACCAAAUUUCAAAUGGAACAAGCAAAGAGAGACGUUAUGUGAACGGACUGAAUGUCUUGCCCAUUACACCAUUGAGUAAUAUUUCCCUAGACGGCGUCAAGUGCCUGCCAGGCCAGGAGAGCUUACAGGAAUGUUGCACAAACCCUGGGAACAACACAGGUGUGCCGCAAACAAAUUCGUUCAUCUGGCUUGCCGUGAAUGUGCUUAGAACAGUCCCUCUGUAAGCCACAGCAGAAAAAUAUUGUUUACUGAUGGCAAUAUAGCGUUGUGUUCAUGGCCCUGUGAAGAAACGUCAGUUUCAAGUCUAAUUUGUGUACUCCUUUUUUUCUGUAACAAAUUCGUGUUUCUAUAUUGCUUUGGUUAUUGUGUGGCUAAGAGGUAGUUCAAAAGCAGUUGUUGAUGUUUAUUUUACACAGUUUGGAUCCGGCUUGUGUA